GAAACUAAAUAGGAUUCCCUUAGUAAUGGCGAAUGAACAGGGAUGAGCUCAGCAUGGAAAUUGGGGUCUCCCGACCUUGAAUUGUAGUCUUGAGAUGUACCGCCAACGGAGGCGCAGAUGUAAGCCUCUUGGAAAAGAGCAUCAACGAGGGUGAGAGUCCCGUUUGUCAUCUGCAGUCCCCCGUGCACGGUGUACCUUCUAAGAGUCACGUUCCUCGGGAUUGGAGCGCAAAGUGGGUGGUAAAUUUCAUCUAAAGCUAAAUAUUGGUUCGAGACCGAUAGCAAACAAGUACCAUGAGGGAAAGGUGAAAAGGACUUUGAAAAGAGAGUUAAAAGUGCCUGAAAUUGCUGAAAGGGAAGCGAAUGGAACCAGUGUUCUUGAUGAGAUUGUUGCGUACUCUGGUGAUUGCUGGGUGUUCCACCGCAAGGGGGGCAUUUGGUUUUGAUCUAGAUGUGCGUGGUGUUUCUUGUCUUGUGUGUCACCGUCGGUGCAGAAGCGAGUAAAACUCCAGGGAACUGGUAGCUCGGCCACGGUUGAGUGAAUGUCUUUGGUAGCACUCAUUUUUGUAUCGAUCCCUGCGUGUCUGGUUGCAGUGUUUGGUUCGCUUUGAAACUUCUGAAGGGACUUGUCCUUGAAGUCGUUUUGGGCGCGCUGAGCAUCUCCCUGACACAAAGACGAUGAC
rnacentral:rRNA from 1 species